rnacentral:rRNA from 1 species
CCUACGGGUGGCAGCAGUGAGGAAUAUUGGUCAAUGGGCGUGAGCCUGAACCAGCCAAGUAGCGUGAAGGAUGAAUGCUCUAUGGGUCGUAAACCUCUUUUAUAAAGGAAUAAAGUGAGGGACGUGUCCCGUUUUGUAUGUACCUUAUGAAUAAGGAUCGGCUAACUCCGUGCCAGCAGCCGCGGUAAUACGGAGGAUCCGAGCGUUAUCCGGAUUUAUUGGGUUUAAAGGGUGCGUAGGCGGCUUUUUAAGUCAGCUGUGAAAGUCUGUGGCUCAACCAUAGAAUUGCCGUUGAUACUGGGAGGCUUGAGUAUGUUUGAGGCAGGCGGAAUGCGUGGUGUAGCGGUGAAAUGCUUAGAUAUCACGCAGAACCCCGAUUGCGAAGGCAGCCUGCCAAGCCAUGACUGACGCUGAUGCACGAAAGCGUGGGGAUCAAACAGGAUUAGAUACCCGGGUAGUC